rnacentral:lncRNA from 1 species
UGCACAUAUAACUGAUAUAUAUAUGUAUAAUAUAUAUGUAAAUCCUAAAGAUGUAGUUGAGAAUUGGGCUUUAAUACCAUUGUUUUCUCUGGGAGCAAGAAGGGUGGUCCCCAGAAGUCUAGUUCUGUGACUUAACAAGGAAAGGUCCUAGGAAAGCAGAGAGAGGUGAAUGCUAAUUCUGUUUCCUCUGGGGUAUUUCCUGUGACCUGCUCAUUCCUCUAUUGUUGGUUCAGAGAGGGAAACAUUACAAAUGAAGAUUUCCUUUAUAAAGAUACAGUUCUCUUGCAAAUGAGAAUCACCAUUUGGAGGCUGUUAUUUGUGUGUGUGUGUGUAUGUGUGUGUGUGUGUGUGUGAAGUUUUGUUUUGUUUAUUCACUUUACAUCCUGAUCACUAUUCCUCUCCCUAUCCCUCCUCUUACAG